GGUUAAGUUAGAAAGGGCGCACGGUGGAUGCCUUGGCACUAGGAGCCGAAGAAGGACGGGACUAACACCGAUAUGCUUUGGGGAGCUGUACGUAAGCGUUGAUCCAGAGAUUUCCGAAUGGGGGAACCCACUAUCUUUAGUCGGAUAGUAUCCUUACGUGAAUACAUAGCGUGAGGAAGGCAGACCCAGGGAACUGAAACAUCUAAGUACCUGGAGGAAGAGAAAGAAAAAUCGAUUUCCUGAGUAGCGGCGAGCGAAACGGAAAGAGCCCAAACCAAGAAGCUUGCUUCUUGGGGUUGUAGGACACUCUAUACGGAGUUACAAAAGAAAGUUAUAAAUGAAGCGGUCUGGAAAGGCCCGCCAAAGACGGUAACAGCCCGGUAGUUGAAAUGGCUUUCCCUCCAGAGUGGAUCCUGAGUACGGCGGAACACGUGAAAUUCCGUCGGAAUCCGGGAGGACCAUCUCCCAAGGCUAAAUACUCCCUAGUGACCGAUAGUGAACCAGUACCGUGAGGGAAAGGUGAAAAGCACCCCGGAAGGGGAGUGAAACAGUUCCUGAAACCGUGUGCCUACAAGUAGUUAGAGCCCGUUAAUGGGUGAUAGCGUGCCUUUUGUAGAAUGAACCGGCGAGUUACGAUUUGUUGCAAGGUUAAGCGGAAAAAGCGGAGCCGUAGCGAAAGCGAGUCUGAAUAGGGCGCAUAAGUAACAGGUCGUAGACCCGAAACCAGGUGAUCUACCCAUGUCCAGGAUGAAGGUAAGGUAAUACUUACUGGAGGUCCGAACCCACGCACGUUGAAAAGUGCGGGGAUGAGGUGUGGGUAGCGGAGAAAUUCCAAUCGAACUUGGAGAUAGCUGGUUCUCUCCGAAAUAGCUUUAGGGCUAGCCUCGAGGUAAAGAGUCAUGGAGGUAGA
rnacentral:rRNA from 1 species